GAACAGAGAGAAAUGCCGAGGUUGAGGGGCGCGGCUGCCCGGGUUCGGCGAUGGGUUAUAGGGUCCGCGUCCGCCCCGCGUCCGUACAGCCAACGUCACGCCGCAUUCUUAUUUCCAAAGACCUCUGGAGCUUGGGGUCCCACCCCAGCGAUCUUUCGGGGCGUCCUGUGCCCGUCACGCGCCGCGCCGGCUCGGCCCGAAGCGCCCUGCGGACCCGCAGCCUGGGCCGCCCAGAACCUGACGGCCCCGCGGGGGUCAGACGCGGGAGGAACGGCCUCGCUUUCAGAGACGCAGUGAGAGGGCGGUCCCCGCCGUCCCUCUGGCCGGGUGCUCAGCACGCGUUCUUCUCACUCCCAGGACGAGCCGAGCGGCGGGCGCGGACCGGGGCUUGGGGUCGGAGGCGGCGCAGCCAGAAAGGCGCUAGCGGCGCUGAGACGUUUGGGGGAACGCGGGGGCUUCGCGUCUCGGUGGCGGGAAGCGGAAUGAGGUUGGACCGGCCGGGCCGGCGUUCAGGGGCCCGGCGGGAGGCGGAGGGCUGGCGUCCUCGCGGACAUCCAUCUGCAGCGAACCAGGCAGAGGCUUCGGGAUUAGAUCCCUGACUCCUUGCGUCAGUAGCUAAGCUUUGUGAUAGUCUGAGGUCCAAGAAGGGAUUAAAACCAGGAACUGGCUCCUUUUCCAACCACUAAAGCCUCAUCUGGGCCCACAAGCCCUGGCUGUUCCCUGGAGCGUGACUGGAAGAUGUGAGCAGCUUUGUGCUGGAGCCCCAUUUCCAUGGGCAGAAGGAAAAUAAAGUAUGCAUUUUAUGAUACAACUCAGCUUGGAGGGAUUAAGUAGAAGGUCCUCACUGCACCUCAUGGCAGGCUGCUGACGGCAGAUAUUUAACCAGAGGCCCACUCAACCGGGCAGUCAGGGAAGGGUUGGCUCCUGCUCUGUCCAGCUGUCUUCAUAAGGGACCCUGUGACACUUUUUAUAAAAAUGACUUUGAUUUCUGCAUAAGAAGGCUUCCCAAGCUUGCUGUCUAGCAGUGGCUGCUGCAGGGAAUUAUUCACAUGGCAGCAAGAGAGCCCUGGCUCCUUGGACCAGGACAUUCCCUUUGUGUGUGUUGGAAUGAGAGCAGGAAGAGUGCUGGUCAGAAGCCCCUCCCCAGGGCUCUGGGACUUCAGUGUUCUCAGACCAACUGGGCCGCUCCUCUGAGCUGGGAUGCUGACCCACACUUGGCCCCAGCUCUGGCAUCCACUGGACACUGCCUUAUCCGUCGUCUCGCUGGGGCUGGGGGCUGGAGGCUGAGCAGGUCACACUGAACAAAAGCAAUGUGUCCCCAUCACUAGGCUAACAUCUGAGUUCUCUUCCACAGAAUUUGGUAACAAAGUCAGAAAUGAGACUGAAGAUGAUUCUGGAGGCAACUGGGAACCCCCCCAGAACGAUUCUGCAGGCUUCUGGGAAGCUGAAAAACCCCAAGGCCAGACUGGCCUCUGAGAAUGCCUGAGUCCUUUCGAUUCCACUGGAAAAGCCAUCCAUCUGUGCCAAGUGUGUGGAGAGCUUCAAGAGCCAUACGGCCCUGGCCACCCGUGAGCACAGCCACGUGGGGGAGUGGUCCUGAAAGUGUCCUGGUGUGGCAAAGGCUUUCCACUAAGUGGACCUCAGAUGGCACAGGAAGACUCUCCUGGGGAUGUGGGAGGACACUGCCUAGUGGGAGAGGGGCUGCUCUUUCAGGUGUGUACACUAAACGCAGAGGCAGCCUCUCCCGGCUGCCAAGAAGCCUGUGCAUGACCCAGGACCACGAAACACUUGCCAACUGUCACUACCCAGAGGCCCUGUGCCUGUCUGGAGUGUGCCCAGUGUGUCUGCGCCCCACAGCUUGUCCUGGCCCGCCAGCAGAGCCGCAGCACUGCAGGGCCCUUCUGUUGUUGUGAGUGCCAGGGCCCUUGCUGGCUGCCUGAGCAAGGCAAAAGGUUCAAAACAGGAAGUCUCUGGGCAGCUAUUCCCAGGUGCAGAGGGGAGCAGCGGCCACGUGGGUGCCAGUGUGGCAGGAGCUGCAGUCAGAGGCAGCAUCUCAAGAGCCCUGGGAGCAGGGGCUGGCCACGUGAAGCCCAUGAGUGUCGCUGGCACGGGAAAGGGACACGAGGAUCACACUGACCCAAGAGAAGGCCCACAGUGAGGAGGCCCCACCGAAGCAUCCCCAGCAACGGGCUGAGGCAUCCGAGGCAGCCAGCCCACUCAGAAAGGCCUGCUGACUGCACUCCGGAUGUCAAGAGCACCCUUGGGAAAAAGAAAGGCCGGAGUGCAGCACCUUCUAGAGCCUCACCUCGCUUCUCUCCUUCUAGCUCCAGCCAGAGUGAUGGAAGAGGCUGCGCUGGGAGCUGCCUCCCUGGGAGCCUACCCUGCCCAGCCUGAGAGUGGAGGCUACCGGCAUCGCGCUUCCGCUAGUGAAAUCCAUCUGUCCUGAAGGGAACCCUGGGAAGGGGUCAAGGAGACCCUGUUCACCCCCACCACGGGGUCAGGUCUUCACCGCAGGGAGGCCGCACGGAUUCCCAGUCGCAAACCCAAAGCCUUGCUGCCUGUGCCUCUGCUUCCAUAGUUGUUUCAAUGUCUUUUUUAAAAAUCACGUACACUCGAGUAAGACCGAGUCUCCUCACCAAAGAGAUCUGGCUGUAUCCCGAGUCUCUGAAACCUUUGCUCCAGUCCCGUGGGAGCGUGCCGUCCCAAGGAUGUGGAGCUGCGAGGGCUUGCCAGAGGGAUCUCAGGGGCUAGGCCUCAAGGAGCGUUGUUGAGUGACAGGUCUGAUGCAGCAGCUUUCACUACUGGUGGAAAUCGAUGUUUUUUCCUUGAAAGUCUACCUUUCUAAUUUCAGUAACCAAAUUAGAUCAUGUAUGUGAAAGCACUUUGUAAACUAUGCAGUACUCCAGAAAAGACAGCCAAGCCCUUAAUUAUAACUCACCAAACAGC
rnacentral:antisense_RNA from 1 species